GGGGAGCUCUUAUGCACUUCUUUGAUUUGGGCUUUGAUUUCUACUAAUGGCCCUGGUCACAAUCCUA
rnacentral:tRNA from 1 species